rnacentral:misc_RNA from 1 species
AAGUCGUAACAAGGUUUCCGUAGGUGAACCUGCGGAAGGAUCAUUAACACGUAUCCAAACGUUAAAACCCCCCCCGUGAACUUUCAAUCCUGCUCUUGUAACCCGCGUAGUUCCGCAAUCUCUGGUAAAUCAUAGCCCGGAAAGUUGUUUUGAUUCAGAGACCUCUGCCUACGUGAGAAAAAUGGAACAGUUACAAUCGAGCGGUAGUUUCAUAGGCAUUGUUUCCCCAAGCAGUCAGUGUCGGAAAGUGUCAUUGAUUGUGCAAGGAUAGCGCUUCCACGAUUCCUGUAGACCGUACACUCCCCUUACAACCCCACAGUUUAAUGUAAAGCUCAAUGUAAUACAUUGGGUAAAAAAACCGAACAACUGUUAACAAUGGAUAUCUUGGUUCUC